AUGACCUGUCAGUCACUCUCCACGCGGGCCGUCGGAAGGGCUUCCUGGAGCAGGUCUUCAAGAGGCCAUGUCAGUCAUGAAGAUGUUCACCAGACAGAAAGUCUGGAGCAGAAGUCCAAGGAGGAAACAGACUUACAUGUCCAACCCCUUUGUCCUGAGAUCUGGAGAUCUGGAGAUCUGGAGUCUAUCGAGGUGAGGGCCUGUUUUUGUGUCUCCGAGCCCCACAGAAAUUGUUUGUUGCUGAAGAAGCUGAACCUGUCCCAUUAGAAGAUCUUCUAAGAGUUUAAAGAAAUCACACUUGAUUCCUGCUGACCUGCACCUCAUCGAGACCCCCGUUGGCCGGAGUGGAGAGGAGUGAGAGGACGUCAGGGAAGGGGAGAUGCUUCGGCACUCCUUAAGGCGGAAAGGAGGGCAAAAUGAUUUUGUUAGAAUUUAAUUUCUCUGUUGGGACAAGCAAUUAAUUUGGAAGAGUUGGGGGGUAUUGUGGUGUUAAGUUCUAUAAGUGAUAGCAAAUUUGAUGGAUAACAUUUAAUUCAUUACACAAAUCGUUAUUGUCUGGUAUGUGUUAAGAGCUAGACUUAUAUGUUAAUAUCUGGUGCACACAUUAUAACUUGAUUUGAUGAGUUUGGUUAGAUACCAGGAGAGAGCCUAACUUGGGAUACAAAUUACAUGAGGACUUCUUUGCCUUGCAUAGAGCGUGGCUUUCAGGUAAGCCCAAUUGACAUAAUUUCCAGAUAUUUUUGUAGUUCUGGGGGUAACAGCAGAGACUUUCAUGACAGGACUUGAGUCACCAAAUUGCUCAUCUCAUUGUUCCCAGGUGAGACAAGUGAGCAGCGGCCAAGAUCAGGAAAGUGGCUUCAUGAAAGUAUGGGCAGGACAUUUCUGAUAACUGUGCUGGUUUCUUCCUUUGAGAGGAACAGCUAUCCUUCUGGUUGCCUGAAAGACGGCUGAGUCACUUAGAGAAAGACAGUGCCUGGGGGAGUGUCGGCUACACACUCAAGCCCUCAGCUUUGGGCCACCGCCAUCCCAAGCCCCUUUCCAGUCAAGAGUGGAUGAAGAACAAAAUGGAUUCCGAGGGCAGACAUCGUGCCAUGGACGGUGCUUCUCUCGGGAAGGCUAACUGGAUUAAAAAAGAACUGCACCAACAUUUUUGGGAGCGCCCCUGGGCCCCUUCUCUUCCAUUGGCUGUCCGCUCCCCGGGGGUGGGAAGUUCGACGGUCUCCAGUCUGAACAAAAGGUGUUCUUGAGUUCCCCCGGGAAAUCCCGGCCCACCAAGCUCAAACUCUUGUCUGAGGUUUCUGAUCGUAACAAUAAAGAGCGUGCACCGGCCUGCCGUGUCUCCUGG
rnacentral:lncRNA from 1 species